CCUUUUGGGCAACGGAUCAGUCGAAAAAACUUUACUCUCUCCAUCGCCGAGCUUCUUUGUUGGCUGAAGAAGGAAGGGGAAAGGCUUCGAAAUCGAUUGGGUCGAGCUGCCUAUAGUUUCUAAUGUUGGCCACGGAUCUGGAUUUAGUUGAGGUUAGCAUGAACUUUUCGCAUGAUAUGGAUAAUGGAUAUGAGAAAAUUUGCAGGAGAAUGAAUCCACCGAGGGUUGUAGUUGAUAAUGAAGCCUGCAAGAAUGCUACGGGGAUAAGGUUGGGCUAUUGGCCGCUGACACAGUUGAUUAGGUGAAGUGUAAAACAAUUGCUAUCUGCCUGCAAGAAGAUCACCAAAGCCUGGUUGGAUUGAAACAACAAUCUAAUUUAAAAUAUGGUGUAAAAGUUGUGAAGUCAGACGAACAGGUUCAUCUUGUUAAACGGAUGAGCAAAUGCAAGCUGUCCAAACUGAAUUGAACAGCAUUGAAACUCGUAUUCACAAUCCUUUAGCAUUAAGAAGCCGAUAGCAGCACUUACUCAACUGGCACAGAAGCAAUCUCAACAGAUCCAAGAGCUGCAAUCAGUUCCAACUUCCAAUGGAAGGGUAUGUGUCUUUACUUGGACACUAGGAUGCGAAACUGUAGGACAGUUUGUUUUUGCAGCAUAUUGCUGGUAUCUAUGAUUCAUCUCAUAUGUAAUUAUUAUGCACUUCUGGAUGAAUAAUGACCCCUUGUAUAUUGCUCUCCAGUGAAUGAAAUCUGUGUAGGAAGCUAAUCUUUGGAUUCAGUGUUUUUGAAAUAUUUGUUGAACAGUACAGAGGUGAUUGCGUAAUGUACAGCA